CCUUGGUAUUUAUUUUGAAGUUUUGCAAGAGGGACUCGGCGAGUUCAUAGCCUGACUCGCCGAGUAGGGUCGGGAUUUCGAGCACGUGAUUAGCUGGCGACUCGGCGAGUCCAUAUUCUGGACUCGGCGAGUCUGCCCGUCUGGGAGAAACCCUAAAUCUCCGGGUUGCCCACUAUUUAAGCCACCUUAUAGCCCCCAAUCCCGCCUCCUUCACCCUCUAAAGCUGUGAGAAAACCCUAAUUCGUUCUUGAGCGAUUCUAAGUGAUUUUGUGUGCUAAUUGUGAAGGCUUGAAAAAGGAGAAGAAGAAAGGAGCAAGGAGAAGGAUUGUAGAGCAGAGAUUCAAGGGAAAGCAACAGCUCUUUGAGCCGGGGAGAUACCGGAGCAGCAGCAGCUAGCUUCCAGAGCCAUACACUCAGCAGCCAGUUCACGAGGUACUUCCGCUUGUAGAGGGAAGAGCUCGGGAUGAUGGCAUCGCACACACCACAGCUUCAGCUUUUAUCCUGGGAGUUGAUUUGGUUCUUGAUUUUUAUAUGACAUGGAUAUGAUACAGUUUUCCGCACAGUG